rnacentral:rRNA from 1 species
AACCUGGUUGAUCCUGCCAGUAGUCAUAUGCUUGUCUCAAGGAUUAAGCCAUGCAUGUGUCAGUAUAAACUUGCUAUACGGUGAAACUGCGAACGGCUCAUUACAACAGUCAUCAUCUACUUGGUCAUUGGACCUCGGUCCAUAUGGAUAACUGUGGUAACUCCAGAGCUAAUACAUGCCCAAACACUCCGUGUGAGUGGCACUUAUUAGAUUCCACCAACACGGGCUUCGGUCCGUUCGGGUGAUUCACAGUAAUUUCGCGAACCGCUUCGGCGGUGAACCAAUCGAGUCUCUGCCCUAUCAGCUUUCGACGGUGGUGUAUUGGACUACCGUGGCUUCUACGGGUAACGGGGAAUUAGGGUUUGAUUCCGGAGAGGGAGCCUGAGAAACGGCUACCACAUCCAAGGAAGGCAGCAGGCGCGCAAAUUACCCAAUCCCAACUCGGGGAGGUAGCGACAAGAAAUAACUGUACGGGGCUUCGGCCUCAUACGGGGAUGAGAACAAUCCAAAUACUUUAUCGAGAACCCAUUGGAGGGCAAGUCUGGUGCCAGCAGCCGCGGUAACACCAGCUCCAAUAGCGUAUACUAACGUUGUUGCACUUAAAAAGCUCGUAGUCCGACUUCCGAGAGCGCGAGCGUCCGUGGCGCCAGUGUCGCAGCCUUUGUGCUCGCACUGAUCCCGCCCGCGUCUCGUCUCUCCUUGACCCCUGCCUGAUCAGCGACCCCGCUGUGCCCUCGUGGUGCAGCGCGCUUGGUCGUCAGGCAUGUUCCUGUGAGCAAAUCAGAGUGUUCCNAGCANGCUUCAACGCCUUGCAUGGUCUAGCAUGGAAUACAGAGCGGGACUCCGUGCUCCCUGCGUUGGUUCGAGUGAGCCGGAGACAUGGGUAUAGGGGAUAGUGGGGGGCAUUCGUAUUCCGGUGUCAGAGGUGAAAUUCUAGGAUUACCGGAAGACGAACAAAUGCGAAAGCAUUUGCCAAGGAUAUUCCCAUUGAUCAAGAACGAAAGUUAGGGGAUCGAAGACGAUCAGACACCGUCCUAGUCCUAACCAUAAACGAUGCCGACUAGGGAUUGGAGAACGUAUCUCUUUUGACUCCUUCAGCACCUGUAGGGAAACUAAGAGUCUUCGGGUUGUGGGGGGAGUAUGGUCGCAAGGCUGAAACUUAAAGGAAUUGACGGAAGGGCACCACCAGGAGUGGAGCCUGCGGCUCAAUUUGACUCAACACGGGGCAACUUACCAGGUCCAGACAUGGGGAGGAUGGACAGGCUGACAGCUCUUUCUAGAUUCCAUGGAUAGUGGUGCAUGGCCGUUCUUAGUUGGUGGAGUGAUUUGUCUGGUUUAUUCCGUUAACGAACGAGACCUCCGUCUGCUAACUAGCGCGGUGUAUCCUUUCUAGGCUACACUGUACAAGAAGCGCUUCUUAGAGAGACAACUCGUAAAAAGCGAGUGGAAGCUGGAGGCAAAAACAGGUCUGUGAUGCCCUUCGAUGUCCUGGGCCGCACGCGCGCUACACUGAUGAACGCAACGAGCGUAAGCUUUUCCGAAUGGACUGGCGAAUCUCGACAAAGUUCAUCGUGUUUGGGAUAGACCCAUUGCAAUUUUUGGUCUUCAACGAGGAAUUCCUAGUAAGCGCGAGUCAUCAACUCGCGCUGACUACGUCCCUGCCCCUUGUACACACCGCCC